rnacentral:lncRNA from 1 species
GGAAGAUUAUGGGAUGGAGCUGGAACCAGGUUGAAUGGUGGUGGGCUUUUAUUAGCAGUGCCGUGGGGGCGGCGGUGAAGGGCUGUUGCUGGACAAAUUGAGAGCUGGACAAAUAGAUCUGCAGUUUUGGAGCCAGUUUCUGAAUUGGGCGGGGGAGAGUUGGAGGAAAGAGGGAUGCACUACCCUCCUUAGCCUCUUAGCGGGCUUAGAAGGGGAGGGCCCAGAGAACUACAAUACCCAGAAGCCCCAAAGCGUCCCAGCGGCUCAGAAAGGGCUUUGGGGAGCGCGCCCUCAAGGAGUGUGGCGGAAUUGGCAAGAGGCAAAAACAAACUGCUCUCCUGCUUUGGUGUUUCGCCAGUAUGUAAGGCAAGAAGUGAUAUUCAGCAGAAGUGGAACUUCAUGA